rnacentral:rRNA from 1 species
AUUGAACGCUGGCGGCAUGCCUUACACAUGCAAGUCGAACGGCAGCACGGACUUCGGUCUGGUGGCGAGUGGCGAACGGGUGAGUAAUGUAUCGGAACGUACCUUUCAGUGGGGGAUAACGUAGCGAAAGUUACGCUAAUACCGCAUAUUCUGUGAGCAGGAAAGCAGGGGAUCGCAAGACCUUGCGCUGAUUGAGCGGCCGAUAUCAGAUUAGCUAGUUGGUGAGGUAAAGGCUCACCAAGGCGACGAUCUGUAGCGGGUCUGAGAGGAUGAUCCGCCACACUGGAACUGAGACACGGUCCAGACUCCUACGGGAGGCAGCAGUGGGGAAUUUUGGACAAUGGGGGCAACCCUGAUCCAGCCAUGCCGCGUGAGUGAAGAAGGCCU